rnacentral:rRNA from 1 species
CAUGCAUUCCUCAGUACGGCGAGUGAAGCGGGAAAAGCUCAAAUUUGAAAUCUGUCAACAUUUCUUUUGUUGUCCGAGUUGUAAUUUCAAGAAGCUGCUUUGAGUGUAGACGAUCGGUCUAAGUUCCUUGGAACAGGACGUCAGAGAGGGUGAGAACCCCGUCUUUGGUCGAUUGGAUAUGCCAUAUAAAGCGCUUUCGAAGAGUCGAGUUGUUUGGGAAUGCAGCUCUAAAUGGGUGGUAAAUUUCAUCUAAAGCUAAAUAUUGGCGAGAGACCGAUAGCGAACAAGUAGAGUGAUCGAAAGAUGAAAAGAACUUUGAAAAGAGAGUUAAAUAGUACGUGAAAUUGCUGAAAGGGAAGCAUUGGAAAUCAGUCUUACCUGGGUGAGAUCAGUAGUCUCUUCGCGAGACUAUGCACUCUGAACCUGUGGUAGGUCAGCAUCAGUUUUCGGGGGCGGAAAAAGAAUAAGGGAAGGUGGCUUUCCGGGUUCUGCCUGGGGAGUGUUUAUAGCCCUUGUUGUAAUACGUCCACUGGGGACUGAGGACUGCGGCUUCGUGCCAAGGAUGCUGACAUAAUGGUUUUCAAUGGCCCGUCUUGACCCCCGCGGGACCA